rnacentral:rRNA from 1 species
UACGAAGGUGUCUAGCGUUGUUCGGAUUUACUGUGCGUAAAGCGCACGUAGGCGGAUAUUUAAGUCAGAGGUGAAAUCCCAGGGCUCAACCCUGGAACUGCCUUUGAUACUGGAUAUCUCGAGUAUGGAAGAGGUGAGUGAAAUUCCGAGUGUAGAGGUAAAAUUCGUAGAUAUUCGGAGGAACACCAGUGGCGAAGGCGGCUCACUGGUCCAUUACUGACGCUGAGGUGCGAAAGCGUGGGGAGCAAACA